GACGAACGCUGGCGGCGUGCUUAACACAUGCAAGUCGUACGGUAAGGCCCUUUCGGGGGUCCACGAGUGGCGCACGGGUGCGUAACACGUGAGUAACCUGCCCACAACUUUGGGAUAACGCUAGGAAACUGGUGCUAAUACUGGAUAUGUGCUCCUGCUGCAUGGUGGGGGUUGGAAAGCUCCGGCGGUUGUGGAUGGACUCGCGGCCUAUCAGCUUGUUGGUGGGGUAGUGGCCUACCAAGGCGGCGACGGGUAGCCGGCGUGAGAGGGUGACCGGCCACAGUGAGACUGAGAUACGGCCCAGACUCCUACGGGAGGCAGCAGUGGGGAAUAGUGCACAAUGGGCGCAAGCCUGAUGCAGCAACGCCGCGUGCGGGAUGACGGCCUUCGGGUUGUAAACCGCUUUCAGCAGGGACGAAGCUUUUUGUGACGGUACCUGCAGAAGAAGCACCGGCUAACUACGUG
rnacentral:rRNA from 1 species